rnacentral:lncRNA from 1 species
GGAGGAUAUGAUAUGGAUGAGAAGUUACAAACCAAAGGAAAUAGAGGAGCAAUGUGGAACAAGUGAAACACAAUCAAAUCACACCCAAAACCCUCUAAUUCAAUCCUCUUCUUGACUCCAUUAUUCACGCAAUUUUUUUUUUUAUUUUUCUCAUUUUUUUGUAUUUCUUUUUUUUUUCAUCUUGUCUCUUUUCUUUUCUCUCUUUUCAGAACACAACUCUAAGAGACAAGAUAACACAACAUAUAUACAAAAAACAAAACAAGAAGAGG